rnacentral:piRNA from 2 species
UUGCUUAUAAGUAAAAAGUUAAUGUGG